GUGAGCGGCAAAAGCUCAAAUUUGAAAUCCUGCGGGAAUUGUAAUUUGAAGGUUUCGUGGUCUGAGUCGGCCGCGCCCAAGUCCAUUGGAACAUGGCGCCUGGGAGGGUGAGAGCCCCGUAUGGCGCACGCCGACUCUUUGCACCGCGGCUCCGACGAGUCGAGUUGUUUGGGAAUGCAGCUCUAAGUGGGUGGUAAAUUCCAUCUAAAGCUAAAUAUUGGCGAGAGACCGAUAGCGAACAAGUACAGUGAUGGAAAGAUGAAAAGCACUUUGAAAAGAGAGUGAAACAGCACGUGAAAUUGUUGAAAGGGAAGGGCUUGCAAGCAGACACGGUUUUACCGGGCCAGCGUCGAAAAGGGGGGAGGAACAAGAACUCGAGAAUGUGGCGCGCACCUUCGGGCGCGCGUGUUAUAGCUCGUGUUGACGCCUCCAUCCCUUUUCGAGGCCUGCGAUUCUAGGACGCUGGCGUAAUGGUUGCAAGCCGCCCGUCUUGAA
rnacentral:rRNA from 1 species